rnacentral:rRNA from 1 species
AAUGAACGCUGGCGGCGUGGUUAAGACAUGCAAGUCGAACGGGACAGUGGGGUGUAGCAAUACACUCGCUGUUCAGUGGCGAACGGGUGCGUAACACGUGAACAAUCUACCGUCGAAGUGGGGAAUAGCUCGCCGAAAGGCGAAUUAAUACCGCAUGUGGUCUGGGCUCGCGAUGGAGCCUUGAACUAAAGUCAGGGACCGCAAGGCCUGACGUUCGAGAGGAGUUCGCGGCCUAUCAGCUAG